AUUGAACGCUGGCGGCAUGCCUUACACAUGCAAGUCGAACGGUAACGGGCCUUCGGGUGCCGACGAGUGGCGAACGGGUGAGUAAUACAUCGGAACGUGCCCGAUCGUGGGGGAUAACGAGGCGAAAGCUUUGCUAAUACCGCAUACGAUCUACGGUUGAAAGCAGGGGGCCGCAAGGCCUUGCGCGGACGGAGCGGCCGAUGGCAGAUUAGGUAGUUGGUGGGAUAAAAGCUUACCAAGCCGACGAUCUGUAGCUGGUCUGAGAGGAUGAUCAGCCACACUGGGACUGAGACACGGCCCAGACUCCUACGGGAGGCAGCAGUGGGGAAUUUUGGACAAUGGGCGCAAGCCUGAUCCAGCCAUGCCGCGUGCAGGAUGAAGGCCUUCGGGUUGUAAACUGCUUUUGUACGGAACGAAAAGCCUUCUUUUAAUACAGGAGGGUCAUGACGGUACCGUAAGAAUAAGCACCGGCUAACUACGUG
rnacentral:rRNA from 1 species